rnacentral:misc_RNA from 1 species
GCAUUAAUUGCAACUCUUGAAUGAUAAUAAGGUAUUGAAAUAUUUUAAUGCAAAGAUUAAUUUUUCUUAACUGUUAUGUGUUUUGAGAUUGCUUUAGUUACAGAAUUUGUUAGACACUUGAAUGAAAAAGAAAAAGUCUACUCUUCAUCAUUUAUUCAUGUAAAUUCAUGUAAAUUGAACAAGACAUAUUUAUGUAAUAGUGUAAAGUUAUUAAUACAGACAUGGAUAAUUCUAUGUAAUUCAUUCAUUUUAUACAUGUACUGUACAGUAUGCAGUGUAAGUAUUAUUCAUUAACUCUAUGCAUGUAUGUUUACAACUGGAAGGAUUGUUGAAAAAAACAUGAAAGGUUUGAAAUUUACAAUCAUUUUUUUCAUUGUCAUUAGAAUGAUCAGAAGAAACUUAAUGAUACAUGUUACAAAUCCAUGUGUCAUGUGACUUUUUAAUUUGUUGCAUAGAUUUAUUGUAGGUCAAGAUUUGAAUGUUGCUUAUGUCAUCACUGCAUAUCAUCACUAUCAAACAUGAAAAGAUAAUAUUGAAAAAAUUAAAUAUAAUUGUAGCUGAAUCCUAUUUUACAUGUAAAACAAAAUGUGAAUUAUUUAUAGCCCAUGAUCUUAGUUUUGAUUGUUGAUACUAUCUGGACAAAAUUUUGGUCCAACAUGAAUGCAUUCAGGUUUGUCUUAAAUCAGUUUUACUUUGUUAUAAAAUACAAUAAACUUUUCCAUAUGU